AUUGAACGCUGGCGGAAUGCUUUACACAUGCAAGUCGAACGGUAGAGGGGGGCAACCCCCUUGAGAGUGGCGAACGGGUGAGUAAUAUAUCGGAACGUGCCCAGUCGUGGGGAUAACGUAGCGAAAGUUACGCUAAUACCGCAUACGAUCUACGGAUGAAAGCGGGGGACUCGCAAGAGCCUCGCGCGAUUGGAGCGGCCGAUAUCAGAUUAGGUAGUUGGUGGGGGUAAAGGCUCACCAAGCCAACGAUCUGUAGCUGGUCUGAGAGGAUGAUCAGCCACACUGGGACUGAGACACGGCCCAGACUCCUACGGGAGGCAGCAGUGGGGAAUAUUGGGACAAUGGGCGAAAGCCUGAUCCAGCAAUGCCGCGUGAGUGAUGAAGGCCUUA
rnacentral:rRNA from 1 species